rnacentral:rRNA from 1 species
GACGAACGCUGGCGGCGUGCUUAACACAUGCAAGUCGAACGGAAAGGCCCUGCUUUUGUGGGGUGCUCGAGUGGCGAACGGGUGAGUAACACGUGAGUAACCUGCCCUUGACUUUGGGAUAACUUCAGGAAACUGGGGCUAAUACCGGAUAGGAGCUCCUGCUGCAUGGUGGGGGUUGGAAAGUUUCGGCGGUUGGGGAUGGACUCGCGGCUUAUCAGCUUGUUGGUGGGGUAGUGGCUUACCAAGGCUUUGACGGGUAGCCGGCCUGAGAGGGUGACCGGCCACAUUGGGACUGAGAUACGGCCCAGACUCCUACGGGAGGCAGCAGUGGGGAAUAUUGCACAGUGGGCGGAAGCCUGAUGCAGCAACGCCGCGUGCGGGAUGACGGCCUUCGGGUUGUAAACCGCUUUCGCCUGUGACGAAGCGUGAGUGACGGUAAUGGGGAAAGAAGCACCGGCUAACUACGU